CGGCCUAACACAUGCAAGUCGAGGGGCAGCACGGGAGUAGCAAUACAACUGGUGGCGACCGGCGCACGGGUGAGUAACACGUAUGCAACCUACCUGUAAGAGGGGAAUAACCCGGAGAAAUUCGGACUAACACCGCAUAAUACCGAUUAACUGCAUGGUUGAUCGGUUAAAUAUUUAUAGCUGACAGAUGGGCAUGCGUAACAUUAGAUAGUGGGUGAGGUAACGGCUCACCAAGUCAACGAUGUUUAGGGGUUCUGAGAGGAAGGUCCCCCACACUGGUACUGAGACACGGACCAGACUCCUACGGGAGGCAGCAGUGAGGAAUAUUGGUCAAUGGGCGAGAGCCUGAACCAGCCAAGUCGCGUGAAGGAAGAAUGUCCUAUGGAUUGUAAACUUCUGUAGUAAGGGAAUAAAAAAGAGUACGUGUACUCUAUUGUAUGUACUCUACGAAUAAGGAUCGGCUAACUCCGUGCCAGCAGCCGCGGUAAUACGGAGGAUCCGAGCG
rnacentral:rRNA from 1 species